rnacentral:tRNA from 1 species
GGUCGUAUAGUGUAGUGGCUAUCACAUCGGAUUCUGAUUCCGGUAACCCCGGUUCGAUCCCGGGUAUGACCU